rnacentral:rRNA from 1 species
GGUUGUAAACUUCUUUUCUCCAAGGAGGAAGAUCUGACGUUACUGGAGGAAUAAGUAUCGGCUAACCCUGUGCCAGCAGCCGCGGUAAUACAGGGGAUGCAAGUGUUAUCCGGAAUUAUUGGGCGUAAAGCGUCUGCAGGUGGAUAUUUAAGUCUUUUGUUAAAUCUUUAGGCUUACCCUAAAAACUGCAAAAGAAACUAUUUAUCUUGAGUCUAGUAGAGGUCAAGGGAAUUUCCAGUGGAGCGGUGAAAUGCGUAGAUAUUGGAAAGAACACCAACGGCGAAGGCACUUGACUGGGCUAUGACUGACACUCAGAGACGAAAGCUAGGGGAGCAAAUCGGAUUAGAUACCCGAGUAGUCCUAGCCGUAAACGAUGGAUACUAGAUGUUGCUUAUUUUUCGAAAUAAGCAGUGUCGUAGCUAACGCGUUAAGUAUCCCGCCUGAGUAGUAUGCUCGCAAGAGUGAAACUCAAAUGAAUUGACGGAAAAACUCAAAGGAAUUGACGGAAA